GGAAGGAUCAUUAUUGAAUAAACUUGUACAGGCUGUUGCUGGUCCCUUGUUAGGGGGCAUGUGCACGCUUGUCAUCUUUAUUUCUCCAACUGUGCACAUAUUGUAGACCCUGGAUUUUUAUUAUUAUUAUUUGAUAGAUUGAGGACUGCUGUGCUUUCAAACAAGUCAGCUUUACCUUGUAUUUCCAGGUCUAUGUUAUUUUCAUAAUCUCUGAAUAUGUUUAGAAUGUUAAAUUGGGUCAUAUUUGUACCUAUAAAGUUAUAUAUACAACUUUCAGCAACGGAUCUCUUGGCUCUCGCAUCGAUGAAGAACGCAGCGAAAUGCGAUAAGUAAUGUGAAUUGCAGAAUUCAGUGAAUCAUCGAAUCUUUGAACGCAUCUUGCGCUCCUUGGUAUUCCGAGGAGCAUGCCUGUUUGAGUGUCAUUAAGUUCUCAACUACACUAGUUCUUAUGAUCUACUGUGGCUUGGAUAUGGGGGUUUUGUUUGCAGGCUUUGGAAAACAAAGUCGGCUCCCCUGAAAUGUAUUAGUGGUAUCUGAGCAGAAACUACCACAGGUGUGAUAAUUAUCUAUGCCUUGGUGUACUGCAUGACCAGAUUACACUGCUUCCAACAACCCUAUUUGACAAAUUUGACCUCAAAUCAGG
rnacentral:rRNA from 1 species